rnacentral:rRNA from 1 species
AACGGACGCUGGCGGCAGGCUUAACACAUGCAAGUCGAGCGCCCCGCAAGGGGAGCGGCAGACGGGUGAGUAACGCGUGGGAAUCUACCCAUCUCUACGGAAUAACGCAUGGAAACGUGUGCUAAUACCGUAUCCGUCCUUCGGGAGCAAGAUUUAUCGGAGAUGGAUGAGCCCGCGUUGGAUUAGCUAGUUGGUGGGGUAAAGGCCUACCAAGGCGACGAUCGGUAGCAGGUCUGAGAGGAUGUUCAGUCACACUGGGACUGACACACGGGCCAGACUCCUACGGGAGGCAGCAGUGGGGAAUAUUGGAAAAUGGGCGCAAGCCUGAUCCAGCCAUGCCGCGAGAGUGAUGAAGGCCCUAGGGUUGUAAAGCUCUUUCACCGGUGAAGAUAAUGACGGUAACCGGAGAAGAAGCCCCGGCUAACUUCGUGCCAGCAGCCGCGGUAACAC